rnacentral:misc_RNA from 1 species
UACGGAGGGCGCGAGCGUUAAUCGGAAUUACUGGGCGUAAAGCGCGCGUAGGCGGCUCGAUAAGUCGGUUGUGAAAGCCCCGGGCUCAACCUGGGAAUGGCAUCCGGAAAUGUGGGGUUAGAGUGCAGGAGAGGAAGGUAGAAUUCCCGGUGUAGCGGUGAAAUGCGUAGAGAUCGGGAGGAAUACCAGUGGCGAAGGCGGCCUUCUGGCCUGACACUGACGCUGAGGUGCGAAAGCGUGGGUAGCAAACAGG